AUCAAACGAACCAAAAUCUUUGCCAAAUUCCACUCUUUUACUCUAACAAAUUGAGCCGAACUCGAAUUAGGGCUCUAGCCGGGUGUCUGAAAUGGUACGAGACCAGUGCAUGCACUCCAAAAAUCUAGCUACAAAAAACAGCGGUAAUUUGCUAUCGAUGAGUCAUGCGAACCCCUGAAUUUAACCUCUGGUCUCACUUUAGGGGUUUCUAUCAAACCAUAGAGCAGAGCCGCAGAGGUGACUCCAGUCCAGACUGAUAUCGUCGUCCCAAACGCUCUAACCCUCAAUGGAAACCCCAGCCGAGUCACAUCCCGAAGAACCCACUUCAAAAAAACUCAAAACAUCCCCCUCUUACAAAACCCCCAAAUACAAGCGCCGCAAAAUCGCCCUCUUCUUCGGCUACUGCGGCGCAGGUUACCAAGGAAUGCAAAAAAACAUAGGGGCCAAAACAAUCGAAGCCGAUCUCGAAGAAGCUCUCUAUCUCUCCGCCGCUAUUCCUGAACAAGACCGUGGUCAUCCCAAACGUUUGGACUGGUCUCGCUCUGCUCGCACCGAUAAAGGCGUUAGUGCUGUCUGCCAAGUUGUUUCCGGCAGUUUUUACAUUGACCCACCUGGACUAAUUGAGCGCCUUCACCGCCAUUUAUCUUCGCAGUUUCGAGUUUUCGGUUACAAGCGUGUGGCUCCUUCGUUUAGUGCUCAGAGGUUUUGUGAUAGGCGGCGGUAUGUUUAUUUGCUUCCUGUGUUUGUAUUUGAUUUGAGGCGUGUUUUAUCGAAUUGCGAAAGUGGCAAUGUGGUGGAGGGGGAGUGUGAUGUGGAUAGGUUUUGUUAUGGGGAGGAGGAGAAAGAGAGGUUUAAUAGGAUUUUGAAGUGUUAUGAAGGGACGCAUAAUUUUCAUAAUUUUACGACGAGGAUUAAGGCUGAGGAUCCGUCUUCUCAGCGUUUUAUUGUCUCGUUUAGUGCUAGUGAUACUGUUGUUGUUGAUGGUAUUGAGUUUGUUAAGUGUCAAGUUGUAGGACAGAGUUUUAUGCUUCAUCAGAUUAGAAAGUUGAUUGGUUUUGCGGUUUUGGUGAUGAGGAAUAUUGUUCCUGAAUCGUUGAUUAAAAUUGCUCUUCAAAAGGAUGUAAAUAUUACUGUGCCUACGGCUCCAGAAGUUGGAUUAUUUUUGGAUGAGUGCUUCUUUACAUCGUACAACAAGAAAUGGAAAGAAGUUCAUGGAGAACUGUCAAUGAAAGAUUACGAGAAGGAAGCUGAGGAAUUUAAGAUGAAGCAUAUAUAUUCUCAUAUUGCUCUGACAGAACGUAAAGAUAGAGUUGUUGGCCUUUGGCUGCAAUCACUGAAUCAUGAAAAUUAUAGUGAAUUAAGUGUAGCGUCCAGUAGCAAGAUUGCUAAUUUGAAAGAUUCUGAAGUGCGGAGAACAACUAACGACAAAAGUUCUGAACUUGAAAUUGCUGCUGAUUUGAAGAGUCCUGAAGCCAAGGUAACAACUGAUGCCCUGGCGCUGAAAUUGAAGACAGCUGAAGUGGAGGUCGUGGUGGAUUGAAUUGGUCGAGAGGGCUUCAAAUGUUGCUGAAAUGCCUAUUUGGGCAUCCCCGGAUGAUCUUAAAUACGUAACUGGUGAUCUGUCUUUAAAUCUUGUACAAGCGCAUUGCUUCAAUUCAAGUAUAGACUGCGAAGAAGACUCUGCAGAAGAGAAGAGGCAAAGGCAAAUAGUGCUGGUUGAUUGAUUGCAAUAUCUCCUGUAGAGUGUCUUUAUACUCUAAAUAAACUCCUAUAUUAACCUAACGUAGAUGCCAAAGGAUCAUGAUUCCUGAUGUUAUGACAGAUGCUGCUCAGGAAGUUUCUCAUGAAAGAACUACAACCAAAAGCUCUAUCUAGAGCACAGAUAUCAACCAUUUCAGAGACUCGACCUUGGUUCAUGCCAAGUAUUGCGAGGCCUCCUGAAGCUGGUUCCUAGAGAAAAAUAUCUUAGACCUGAAGUCCAUUGAAUUGGUCAUUCUCUUAUGAAAGCAAACUUCCUUCUGUUCCAGGUAAGUUUGAGAAAGGAAAGUCAUGCUGAUGGAGUUGCAGAUUGGAGAAAAUAGAUCAGAUGGAAUGGUCUGAGAAUCAAUUCAUCAAUAGGCAGCAGCAUUAUGCUUCCUUCCAUGCAAGGUUUUGAUGAGAGAAGGCAUGGAGUUGAUUUGCUCGUAAGGGAUUCAUUGUCUUGGGAAAACUAGUUUAUAUGCUUGGUGUUUGUAUAAAAUCUGCAGCUAUGCAUCCGGAAGCACCUGCUUCUAGGUAGCAAAAGCAAUAUAAAUACAUGUAGUUCUCAUAACUAGUCAUCAUUAUGUGAUUUAGCACAUUGGGCUGAGGAUAACUAUGCCAACUAAGGGCGUCAUGCCAUCACGUAGAAUCAUAUGUCAGAAGAUCAGUCCUGUUCGUGCUGCUUGCAUAUUAGUGGCUCUUCAUCCCUCAAAUAUAGCAUCUGCUUUGGUUGAAGGCAAUUCUGAUGUCUCGAAAGGGCUUGAGUGGAUUCGGACUUGGGCUCUUCAUGUAGCUGAAUCAGACAGGGACAGAAAUUGCAACACUGUAAGAAAUGCUCACAGCACCCAUUCUUAGUUAUUUUACUUCAUCUCUGAAUUUUCCAGUCAUUUUUAUAUCGACGGAACCUUGGUUGUCUUGAUAUUUCAUUCCCUCUAGUUUUAAAUUAUGAGGUAAACCACAAUAAUAAUGAAGCUCAAGUGUCAAAAUACAUUGCUUUGGACAAAUUAACUGAGGAGCUCAGGUUGACUGCUUGAAUAUAUGCUGUUUUGUUUAUAUUUCAGUAGGUGAAGCUCUGUAUGUUAUGUUUCUUCCUAAUUAUUUUAGCAAAUAUAAAGGCAUAAUUGUCUAAUGUUCACCAGUCAUCAUCUGUCAAAGACCUUAGAUUAAUUAGUUUUCGUGAUUAAAUAAUACAACUUUUUCCAAUGGUGUCUGUGGUGCUGAAGGGCAAUGUUGAUAUAUAUAUUUUUAUGAAUAUGAUUUUAUUUGUCAAUGUAAUAUUGACGUAUUCAGAUUUCAUGAUUUAAGAUGGCUAUGGCAUGUCUCCAGCUCCAUACUGAGAUGGCUCUUUAAGCUUCACAGACAAUGCAGUCGGUAGAUAGUACAUCCAGCGGAAACAUGGUCUCCCUUGAAACAUGUCAGAGACGAUCAAAAUUCCACUCUCGAAUGUAAAACUAAUAUGAGUUAAGAACUACAGUAAAUUUUAGAUAUGGAAAACUAGUACCUAGUGUUAGAUAUUUUAGGGUGUGUAGGUAUAAAUGUAGUGUUUCUCUAAAGGAAAUUAGAAAAAUUGCAAUCAAACAGACUCAUCUUGUGACGACUAGCACUUGGUGGAGCUGCUUGUAGGAAUCAUGUAUAAUGUAAAUGGUUACUGUAUGCAUUUUUAAAUAAAUAA